ensembl:lncRNA
AUACACUCAAAAAAAUGAAAUGUAGCUGGUGUUGGUCCAAAGAAUAUAACUAUGUAUAAAAUAAAUAAUACAGUUAAGUUUGCGUGUUGAAAUUAAAAAAGUUGUGUUGACAAAAUUAGAAAAAGUAAUAUUUCCAAUUUACACAGCUUACUUAAGUGAAAUGAAUGAAACCGAGUUGUGUUACUUCUGCAGUACCGCACUUUGGUCAGCAGGUGGAGUAAUAUCUGCACAUGCGCAGAUGGGAAGCACAUUCAAAAAUCACGCUUCAGCUCUCUUUUAGAUCAGCGCCAUUUUUAGAAGCAAAACAGAAUAAUUUCAAGGUGCGAUGAAAGCAAGAUAAGCUUUUCUUCAUGUGGACACACAGAGUUUUGGAGUUCUGCCUUUAGAGUCCCAUAUGUGGCUGUGCAGAGACUGUGUGGAUCUUCUCACACAUCCAUAUCAAAGCUUUUAAAACACUUCAGAAUUACAACAAUCCCUUUGGUGUCCAAUGGGCCAGCUUGAUAAUUUCUCAACCCAGCUCCUCAAAAUUGUCAAAAAAAGGAGGAGCAGCGUCACAGAAGAUCACAAACAUCCUGUCAGUUAUGGAUCAGCAUGCCACUAUUGGGAAAAAAGGGAAUGCAUCCUGAAAUCCCUGGCAGAUCUUCUUAAUGAAGAGCCCUCAAACCUCGUGAAGGAGUAUAUGGAUGUUGAACAUGAAGAUGCCCUAACCUAAAUGUGCAACACCACCCUUGGAAUCCAUGUAAUUGUACAUAAAGGGGCAGAUGCUACAGACCCUUAUGAAGACAUUGGGAUCAUUACUGAAGGCAUCCGUAUACUUCAAAAUCUAAAUAAUGUGCCAAAUGCGUGCUCUGUGCUGCUUGGUGUAAUUUACGCAUUGAACUUGUUUUCUCCAUAGUGUUGCACUGUUGGCUACUGCAGUACAUUUGUUUCAUUAUUGCCCAUGUCAUAUUCCUUUUAAAUUGGUCUUGCUUUAAAUAACAGAUGCAUUUUUUUCAGUUUCAAGGAGGCACAUAUUACAAAUGAAGACUGACAUUUUUUUCCCUAAGUGUAAUACUUGCAUGUGAGUAUUUUGUAAAUCCUUUUGAAGGCAGCAUACUUUUUAUUUUUACUUCUUUUCUUGUAUUAAGUGAAGAACUUUGAUUUUAAAAAAGAAGCAUUUGUACAAAUUCUUGUUGGAGAAAUUUGUAAAAUUUGUAAUGUUUUGAAUGGACAUUGAAUAAACUCAAUGAAACUUGAUUGUUUUUAUUGAAGGUGACUAUAUUAAUUUUAGAAUAAUUGAACUUAAUUAACUUUACAGAUUAAAAUAAAAUAAAGAAUGUUAAGUUCAUUCAACUAAACAACAUUGCAU